rnacentral:rRNA from 1 species
UGGGGAAUUUUGGACAAUGGGGGCAACCCUGAUCCAGCAAUGCCGCGUGAGUGAAGAAGGCCUUCGGGUUGUAAAGCUCUUUUGUCAGGGAAGAAAAGGACUGGGUUAAUACCCUGGUUUCAUGACGGUACCUGAAGAAUAAGCACCGGCUAACUACGUGCCAGCAGCCGCGGUAAUACGUAGGGUGCGAGCGUUAAUCGGAAUUACUGGGCGUAAAGCGUGCGCAGGCGGUUGUGUAAGACAGAUGUGAAAUGCCCGGGCUUAACCUGGGAAUUGCAUUUGUGACUGCACGGCUAGAGUGUGUCAGAGGGGGGUAGAAUUCCACGUGUAGCAGUGAAAUGCGUAGAUAUGUGGAGGAAUACCGAUGGCGAAGGCAGCCCCCUGGGAUAACACUGACGCUCAUGCACGAAAGCGUGGGGAGCAAACA